CCUACUGGUGGCAGCAGUGGGGGAUAUUGCACAAUGGGGGGAACCCUGAUGCAGCGACGCCGCGAGGGUGAAGGAGCGUUUCGGCGCGUAAAGCCCUAUCGGCAGGGAAGAAGCAGGACGGUACCUGACUAAGACGCCCCGGCUAACUACGUGCCAGCAGCCGCGGUAAUACGUAGGGGGCAAGCGUUAUCCGGAUGUACUGGGUGUAAGGGCGGCGCAGACGGCAGCGCAAGCGAGGAGUGAAAGCCCGGGGCCCAACCCCGGGAGUGCUUUUGGAAAUGCGCGGCUGGAGUGCAGGAGGGGCAGGCGGAAUUCGUGGUGUAGCGGUGAAAGGCGUAGAUAUCAGGAGGAACACCGGUGGCGAAGGCGGCCUGCUGGACUGCGACUGACGUUGAGGCCCGAAAGCGUGGGGAGCAAACAGGAUUAGAUACCCGAGUAGUC
rnacentral:rRNA from 1 species